CCCAUUAUAGGGGUCUCGGAGGAUUCUUCACAUACUACCUGCAAAAGAAAAGUGUGAGAAAGAAAGUUGAGAGAAAACAGAGAAAACUUGAGGGAGAAGUGAAUCGCCGGAGUUCUCGUCCAACGAAAUUCAUCCUCUACCGAGACUUACAUUGGAGCUUCUUCCUGGAGAGAAGAAAGACUCGUGUGGUUGAGGUUCCAUCUUUCGACAAGAUCAGAGAGAAAUCUGCAAGGAUGAGAGAGAAGCCGACGACACGCCACGUGUCAACUGGCAAGAGGCCCACGUGCACCAACAACCACCGGACAUGUGUCGAACGCAGCCUGGGGAGACACGUCUCCAACCUUCUAGCAACACGCGUCUGCGCCCAGGCAACCCAACCCGCGUUCCUCGACUGACUUGGUACCCGCGCGACGAAACGAACCCUGGCGACCCGCGGUCCACCCGAACCACUGCACCCAAACCGAAUCGACGACCCGCGGCUGCAGAAAAUCGUGGGCGCGUGACACUCACACGUGGAACCUCUGAGUGAGUUUGUCCCGGCCCAUGGCUGGUGCGUGGAAGCGCGUGAUCUAAUUGAGGAAAAAUCCAUACUUUUCGAUAUGCUAACUGUGUGUAAACGAUGCGUAAGGGCACGCAUCAUCCAGGUAAGUCACACACGAAACUUUGGGGAGAAAUACUUGUAGGAGUUGCUUGAAAUGCAUGCAUGAUAGUUUAAUUAUCUUAGGUGGUAGCCUCCCGUGAUUGAAUGUAGGUAGUAAAGAUGUAUUAUGUGCAAUAUUAUGAGAAUUAUCUGAAUAUGUCUAUUAUGUUUUAAGCUUCCGCUUUACAUGUAUAUGAUUAAUUCAUGCUGAAAGGAGGAUGGAAACUUGUGAACUCUACGCUCCGGAAGCUUGAUGGAUGUUAUCGCCUCGUUGAGCAUAUAUGUUUAUUUUGCAUGAAUUUUGGAUGAUGAUGUUGAAUGAUAGUUGUGUGCACACUCAAUUAAUUUCCAUGACCCCCGACUAUGGUAAAGUCUAGGGAUUUGUUGUUAGAGUAACAAGUCACUAAGGUAUAGACCUAACCUUUCCCUUAGUAGUGUGACAAACCACCACGGCACACGAACCGUCACUCUACUAGAGUGCUCUUAGGCUACAUGUGUGUGAUUGGUGUCAUAGCUUCGUGGGGAACUAGGGGGUUCCUGAUCAGAAUCCGACUGCUCUUAGCCGUUUUAGCAUGGAAAACAUGUGCCCACGUCGCAUAGACCAUUUAGCUGGAUGGGUUAAGGGGGUAGCUCUCCCUAACCAAGGGGACUAUCAUGGGCCUAGGCUCACUUCCUAGGUAAGAUACUAGAUAGUCUCAGAGCCAUGUCGAGGUAGCUACUCGUAGGGCACCAGUCAUUACACAGGUCGGUAUAAGGGAACUCUUAAGGAUUUUUAAAUGAAAGGACAAAGAACCAAGAAGCCUCAAGGGGCAAGCCCCAAGGAGCUAAAACGAAAACUAGAUGUCCUAGAGCUAAAGUAGAGUACGUGGGAGUUUGUUAAGAUUAGUUACCAUAAGGGCCUACAAGUAGAUGGCUUAUUGAGUAUAAUUUUAUACUUAUUCUUGCUAUACCUUUCUUUUUCAGGUACGUGAGACGUCAGGUCAAGAGAGAGCGUGUUGAAUGAUGUGGGUUGUCACAGAAGAAGCGUGUCCCGUGGCGUCAGUCCAGUCUUACUAAUUAGUACACUUUGUCCUUCAUGUUUUUUUUUCCUUGUCUAUAACUAGUCACAUAUGUCAUCUUUGUAUUGAAACGCUUUGCUUACAAAAUAAAUGAUUCAUUUUUGAAA